rnacentral:rRNA from 1 species
CGUGUAGGCUGACAUGCAAGUCGGUUGUGAAAUCCCAGGGCUCAACCUUGGAACUGCAUCCGAAACUGUAUGUCUUGAGUAGUAGAGAGGGUGGCGGAAUUAUCGGUGUAGGGGUGAAAUCCGUAGAUAUCGAUAGGAACACCAGUGGCGAAGGCGGCCGCCUGGAUACUUACUGACGCUGAGACGCGAAAGUGUGGGGAGCAAACA